rnacentral:rRNA from 1 species
CAGCCGCCACGGUAAUACGUAGGUGGCAAGCGUUGUCCGGAAUUAUUGGGCGUAAAGGGCUCGCAGGCGGUUUCUUAAGCCUGAUGUGAAAGCCCCCGGCUCAACCGGGGAGGGUCAUUGGAAACUGGGAAACUUGAGUGCAGAAGAGGAGAGCGGAAUUCCACGUGUAGCGGUGAAAUGCGUAGAGAUGUGGAGGAACACCAGUGGCGAAGGCGACUCUCUGGUCUGUAACUGACGCUGAGGAGCGAAAGCGUGGGGAGCGAACAGGAUUAGAUACCCCCGUAGUCCCUGUCUCUUAUAC